UACGUAGGGUGCGAGCGUUAAUCGGAAUUACUGGGCGUAAAGCGUGCGCAGGCGGUUUUGUAAGCCAGAUGUGAAAUCCCCGGGCUUAACCUGGGAAUGGCAUUUGGGACUGCAAGGCUCGAGUGCGGCAGAGGAGACUGGAAUUCCUGGUGUAGCAGUGAAAUGCGUAGAUAUCAGGAGGAACACCGAUGACGAAGGCAGGUCUCUGGGCUGACACUGACGCUCAUGCACGAAAGCGUGGGGAGCAAACAGG
rnacentral:rRNA from 1 species